UACGGGGGGGGCAAGCGUUGUUCGGAAUUACUGGGCGUAAAGGGCUCGUAGGUGGCCAACUAAGUCAGACGUGAAAUCCCUCAGCUUAACUGGGGAACUGCGUCUGAUACUGGAUGGCUUGAGUUUGGGAGAGGGAUGCGGAAUUCCUGGUGUAGCGGUGAAAUGCGUAGAUAUCUGGAGGAACACCGGUGGCGAAGGCGGCAUCCUGGACCGACACUGACGCUGAUGAGCGAAAGCCAGGGGAGCAAACGGG
rnacentral:rRNA from 1 species